GUUUGAACACCAUCAUCAAUCAAAGUUCCAAUCUUUACCGUUCAAUUUGAGCAAAUUAAAGAAUUGAUAAUGGGAAUAGGACAAAUAUGCAUGUAAUAUUUGUUAUCCGCAAGAACCAUUCAACCUUCAACAGUACUUCUCCUUCGUGUUUCGUCAAGAGCUCGAAGAAAUGAAAAAUUACCUGAACUUUAGAAGGCAGAGUAGAAUAUGUAGAUUGAGAGAAACUUGAC
rnacentral:misc_RNA from 1 species